UACAGAGGUCUCGAGCGUUGUUCGGAUUCAUUGGGCGUAAAGGGCGCGUAGGCGGCGGGGUAAGUCUGGUGUGAAAUCUCGGAGCUCAACUCCGAAAUUGCACUGGAUACUGCUCUGCUAGAGGGCUGGAGAGGAGAUCGGAAUUCACGGUGUAGCAGUGAAAUGCGUACAUAUCGUGAGGAAGACCAGUGGCGAAGGCGGAUCUCUGGACAGCUCCUGACGCUGAGGCGCGAAGGCUAGGGGAGCAAACGGG
rnacentral:rRNA from 1 species